UCCCCUAACCAUAUAAAAUUUAUAUCUUCCACAAACCCUAGACCUUAACCUAGCCGUGCCACCCCUUUCUCCAUCCUCUUGCCGCCGCCAGACCCGCUAAUCUGCACCAAACCCGCCAAAAAAUCAAGCCCACUCCCCCACGUAGUCCCCCUCAUCUCUUUCUGCCAUGUAGCCUAACAAACUUCUGACAAUCGAAUCUUCUUCAACCUCACCGCAUGCAUUUUAGAUUUCCCUUGGACGGAUUUUGGAUCAAUGGGAGACGUAAGAUUUGGGUGCCUUAAAUCCUACCCUUCCAUUUGUCUAGAUUUGGUCUAGAAGAGUAAAUUUCGUUUUUGUGGGGAGUUUUCGGAUUUUUGAAAAAAAGUUUUGGAUUUCUGGGAGGAGAAGAAUAUAAACUUCGAGAGUUCUUAUAAAUAUUCUCAUUUUUGGAAUUUUUCGGGGGAUUUUGCAUAGAAUACUUGGGAAAAAAGGGAGAAGGGAGAAGAAAAGUUUUAGAUUUUUUUUUCAAUUUUCAGAUUUUUCUAAGUUUAGUUUGAAUUUCAGAAAAAUGAAAAUAUAAAAAAAAGUAUUUUGAGUUUAGAUUCUUGUUCGAGUUUUGUUUCCAUUUUGAAAAAAAUCAGAAAAUACACAAAAAUAUUUGAGCUACUUUUUCUUAUUUGAUUUGGGUUUCAAAUAUGGAAUCUGAUUGAGCCAAGGUUGUUUCGAAUUUUCCACUGCGGUCGAUUGCCGUUCGAGUUUUCCGGUCUGGGUUCGCGAUUCCUAUUUGACAUUUGUCGUUGUUUUCUUUUCACUGGGAUUUUCGAUUCAAAGCUUUGUAGCCGAAUUUCUACUUUCUACUAUUAAGAAGAAAUUCACAUUUCUCAGGUUCAUCUCUCUAUUCUUUUGUUUAUUUGCUGUUACUAUUGUGAAUCCAAGCAUUGGAAGAUCUAUUUUAAGAUGGGGAUUUGAAUUACACAUGAUAUAGACCAGUGUUGGUUCCAUGCGUUGGUACGUUUAGACCAGGUACCAGGGCAUCCGAGUGAGAGUUGUUCCUUCCUUCAGAGCAUUUCCGGAGUUAGCAAGGUGCCAGGGUCCGAGUGAGAGCUGUUCUUUCCUUCAGAGCAUUUCCGGAGUUAGGAAGGCAGCUACACGGCUUCUGCAGCCUUGCCUUUCUCGUUCCUAUCUUUUAGUAUUUGUUUUUAUCAGACUCCUCUUGUAUUGAGUAGACAUACCAGAUUGUAUUUUAGUGGCUCAUGACUAGCGACAUCGGGAUCGGGCUGUGGUUGAUGUUUCGCAUAUUGUUUCCGCUUGUUUUGAAAUGUUUAAACGAAAGAUUGGUGAUAAUAUCUUAUUAGUAAAUGAAUUAAGAAAAGACCUAUUUAUGUUGUAAAUGUCGAAUAGGCUAGCCUAGUAUUGCGAUAGGCGACAUCACGACCGGGGUGAUUUAGGGUCGU